CUCUGUAAGCAUUGUUUGAGAAGGUCAGACUUCAAAUUUUUUGGCAAGCAUUUAUAUAUUUUCUCAAGAUAGCUAAGAUGAAUCUCUAGGUAUUUAUUUAUGGCCCUGCACAUGAUGGGGUUGUAUAUAUCGAAACAAACAUCUCACAAUUGAUUCUCCUGAUGAACGCAGUGCUGACAUAUGCCGGAUGAAGGGACUACUCUAUCAGUGGAAUGUCUCAAUGCUUUGCCUUUCAGGUUUCUAACCAUAAUUUAUACUGGUGAAAACAAUGUCGUAAUUUCUUUUAGUGCCAUGUUAAAAGGGAUACACUGGGUCCAAACAGUCAUAUACAUAAAUUUAUUUGUUGUUCGGAAAGGCAUAUCUUUCCUUUCAUGUUCUUAUUUGCCAUUUCAAUCUUGGGUCUCCAUGCCCAAGCACAAGCUGUUACCUUAAUAAUCAAUUUAUUUUUACUCCUAAUCUAGAUCAAGGAUUAUGUUCUUGAUGCUAGAGUGCCACUGGACAAUUGCUUGGCCUAUUCGAAGAUUCCUCCUAUGUAUAAGCUUACACAAGUUUUUCUUUCAGAUUUGCACAGAUGGGAGAACAAAUUGCUAUUUGUUCUGCUGCGCUCUCGUUAUGGACCACUUCCAUGUUAUCCAUCUGCAAGGAGUGUAUAUGAUGACACUUUACAUGGAUCUCCCAACAGAUUGAAUGUGCCACGCAUGAACGAGAUCAUGCCCAUCGGCACGAACCUCAACCGGGAAGAGCAGGAGCCGGGCUUCCAGGAUUGCCUGCUGAAGGAAUAGGCCAGAGACACCAAGUUUCUCUGCUCCUCCUUUUUUCG
rnacentral:lncRNA from 1 species